UACGUAGGGAGCAAGCGUUGUUCGGAUUCAUUGGGCGUAAAGGGUGCGUAGGCGGCGCGGUAAGUCGGGUGUGAAAUCUCGGAGCUUAACUCCGAAACUGCAUUCGAUACUGCCGUGCUUGAGGACUGGAGAGGAGACUGGAAUUUACGGUGUAGCGGUGAAAUGCGUAGAUAUCUGGAGGAAUACCGGUGGCGAAGGCGGCAUCCUGGACCGGCAUUGACGCUGAGGAGCGAAAGCUAGGGGAGCAAACGGG
rnacentral:rRNA from 1 species